rnacentral:rRNA from 1 species
AUGAACGCUGGCGGCGUGCUUAACACAUGCAAGUCGAGCGAAGCACUUAAGUCUGAUUCUUCGGAUGAAGACUUUUGUGACUGAGCGGCGGACGGGUGAGUAACGCGUGGGUAACCUGCCUCAUACAGGGGGAUAACAGUUAGAAAUGACUGCUAAUACCGCAUAAGACCACGGUACCGCAUGGUACAGUGGUAAAAACUCCGGUGGUAUGAGAUGGACCCGCGUCUGAUUAGGUAGUUGGUGGGGUAACGGCCUACCAAGCCGACGAUCAGUAGCCGACCUGAGAGGGUGACCGGCCACAUUGGGACUGAGACACGGCCCAGACUCCUACGGGAGGCAGCAGUGGGGAAUAUUGCACAAUGGAGGAAACUCUGAUGCAGCGACGCCGCGUGAAGGAUGAAGUAUUUCGGUAUGUAAACUUCUAUCAGCAGGGAAGAAAAUGACGGUACCUGACUAAGAAGCCCCGGCUAACUACGUGCCAGCAGCCGCGGUAAUACGUAGGGGGCAAGCGUUAUCCGGAUUUACUGGGUGUAAAGGGAGCGUAGACGGCACGGCAAGCCAGAUGUGAAAGCCCGGGGCUCAACCCCGGGACUGCAUUUGGAACUGCUGAGCUAGAGUGUCGGAGAGGCAAGUGGAAUUCCUAGUGUAGCGGUGAAAUGCGUAGAUAUUAGGAGGAACACCAGUGGCGAAGGCGGCUUGCUGGACGAUGACUGACGUUGAGGCUCGAAAGCGUGGGGAGCAAACAGGAUUAGAUACCCUGGUAGUCCACGCCGUAAACGAUGACUGCUAGGUGUCGGGUGGCAAAGCCAUUCGGUGCCGCAGCUAACGCAAUAAGCAGUCCACCUGAGGAGUACGUUCGCAAGAAUGAAACUCAAAGGAAUUGACGGGGGCCCGCACAAGCGGUGGAGUAUGUGGUUUAAUUCGACGCAACGCGAAGAACCUUACCAGGGCUUGACAUAUAGAGGAAUAUAUAAGAGAUUAUAUAGCUCUUCGGAGUCUCUAUACAGGUGGUGCAUGGUUGUCGUCAGCUCGUGUCGUGAGAUGUUGGGUUAAGUCCCGCAACGAGCGCAACCCCUAUCUUCAGUAGCCAGCAGGUUAAGCUGGGCACUCUGGAGAGACUGCCAGGGAUAACCUGGAGGAAGGUGGGGAUGACGUCAAAUCAUCAUGCCCCUUAUGACCAGGGCUACACACGUGCUACAAUGGCGUAAACAAAGAGAAGCGAACUCGCGAGGGUAAGCAAAUCUCAAAAAUAACGUCUCAGUUCGGAUUGUAGUCUGCAACUCGACUACAUGAAGCUGGAAUCGCUAGUAAUCGCAGAUCAGAAUGCUGCGGUGAAUACGUUCCCGGGUCUUGUACACACCGCCCGUCACACCAUGGGAGUCAGUAACGCCCGAAGUCAGUGACCCAACCGUAAGGAGGGAGCUGCCGAAGGUGGGACCGAUAACUGGGGUG